UACGAAGGGUGCAAGCGUUAAUCGGAAUUACUGGGCGUAAAGCGUGCGUAGGCGGUCUUUUAAGUCCGAUGUGAAAGCCCUGGGCUCAACCUGGGAAUGGCACUGGAUACUGGAAGGCUAGAGUACGGUAGAGGAGGGUGGAAUUCCCGGUGUAGAGGUGAAAUUCGUAGAUAUUAGGAAGAACACCAGUGGCGAAGGCGGCUCACUGGCCCGGUACUGACGCUGAUGCGCGAAAGCGUGGGGAGCAAACAGG
rnacentral:rRNA from 1 species